UGAGUAUUUAUUUCUGUUAUGAUGAUGUUGAUGUAUAUUGAGCUCAAAUCCUGCACCAUAGUUUAGUGCUUAUAGUAUUCACCGCAUCGCACGCUCGCCUUGGAUCCAAGUAGAUGCUAGUCGUACAGUCCACGCGGAGUGGGUACGACAGGCCAGUCGCGAGAGUGUUAGUGAGAUUCCGACUGGUGGGUGACCUUAGAUUAUGUGCACAGAUGAUUUAUGAGAAGCACUAGAGCGUAACUUGUGUGCAGAAGGCCGGACGGGUCACAGAGGUGACUCCGGUAGAGUGAUAAUGAUAGAUUUUGAGCUCUAGGUUCAACCGUAUAGGGCUAUUAGAGGGCCUACGGUUGAUUACUUUCUUGCACCUGAUAUGAUUAUGUUGAUGCAUUCAUACCUUAUUACUGUUGAGAUAAUGUGGCAUGGCAUAAUUAAUAUGAGAAAUGUUGAGAUGACAUGGCAUGGCAUGAUUGAUAAAGAGAUAAUGUUGAGAUAGUAACAAUGAAGUUUUGAGAAUAUAUAUGUAUAUUUAUAUUUUACAUUUCUGGGAAAGUAUACAGGUUUUACGGAGAGGGGUUACAACGUUUUGAGAAAUGUUUGGAUUUGGAAAAGAAUUGUUUUACUGACCCACUCAAUUUUGGUUUUGCGCCCCUCCAGGUUCAGGAAUCACAAAGGUGUGGUGACUACGAGGAAUUCGACGGUUGUUCUGACAGAUUGGACAAAAUUAGGACUCACCUUCGGGUGUAUCAACUUAUAAAUUGUAUAAUUAAAGCUUCCGUACUGUGCAAAUGGUUACGUCACUCUCACGUGACGGCCAGCAUGCCCUCCUUCGGGACGGGGUGUGUGUCAGUUGGUAUCAGAGCAUGGUUGCAAUCUUGGACAUCUUGAGAAGUUUCUAGUGAAUUCUGUCAGAACUACACCGCCUCGUAGCAAGCCACUUAGUUAGAGGAAUUUAAUCUCCCUAAUAUAGCGGUUUAGGGAAAACUAUUAUUAUGGUGAUUCAGUCUAUUAUAAAAAGGGACAUUUUAAGACGGAUUAUGAGUUGAAUUUGAAUCACUUAAGAGAAAUGAUGAACCUGAGGGAACAAAGUGACGGAUUAACCAAUUGGAAAAGAUGUUUCGGAAUAUGCAAGUCAAAGGAAUCUUCCUUCUGACAGGGGGUCGAGACGACUACCUGGUUUUGGGUAUGAAUUUGUAUCCUGGUGGAAACAGGAGUAUGAUGUGUUGUCACCGGAGGAACAGCCGAUUUAAAAUUGUUUAAGGACUUGUUUAAGGGAAAAGUUUAUCCCUCCGGCAUUUAUCGAUGGUAGUAAACAAGAGUUUACAAAUAUGAGACAAGGAAGGUGAUGAUCGAGGGAUAUUAUAGAAAGUUUUCAGACUUGCCUCGUUCCAUCCAGAUAUGGUUGUUAUUGGUGGAGGUGUUAUGUUGUUUUAAGCUGGGUGGCAAAAAGGGAAGUGGUAUUUUGGGUGACCACUAUCCAUUAUACUUCUUACCAGGAAUAUACGAGAUGCUGUUGAGUCUUGAGGACUCUGAGAACAUGAUCAACGAGAAUAAAGAAGAAUAAGAAAUGAAUGGGAAUUAAAAGAAGACGAUAAAGUUAAUGAUUCGUCUUAUCAAGGAUAUAGAAAGAUUCAGAGCUUCGAAAGAAGUGAAGCUAGAGUUAAUUCUUCCAGCUGAGGUUUUAAUGUCGCUGGUCAGAGUAAAAGUGAUGGAUAUACUGGUAAUCCCAGAUAUUUGAGACAAGGUGUCUCGAGUACAGGAAAUGUACCUUGUGCAGCAGGUACAAAAUUAACACUUUGGGAAGUGUGAAAUUAAUGAAUGUGUUUAUGUGAACAGAGGGGACACAGAAUUGUGAAUCGUCCCUAAAAUCAGUUGUACCCAACAGUUUUCUAUGACAUCGUAGUAUCGAUUCAGCAGGUUUAUGAACUUAGUAGUUUGGUCGGAUUGACCGUGGGUACAGAGAGAUUUGAUGAGUUAUGUUCAGCCAUACAGGCCACGAGAGGUGGAUUCGACUGACACAUGAGAAAUUGGUGAGUUAUAGGCUCGGCCGUACCGACCACGCGGAGUGGAUCCGGCCGACGUAUUAUUGAGAUAAGAGUUGAAUCAGCCGUAUUGGUCAUUCUAGUUGACUUCGGCUGAUAUAUUUCUUAUUAUGUAUGUUAUUACCUAGAGAGUAGUAAAUAAAUGUAGUUGAGACGAGUGUAUGUAUUUUGCAUUGAGUGACAAAAUAGUAAUGUUAUAUCUUUGAGAGUGGUUGCCUACUUAUCGAGACAACGAUGAUUUAUCAGUAUUGCGGGCUGCAGACCGUAAUAUUAAUAACUCAUUCGUGGAUUCGUUAAGCAAGCAACCCGGUAGAUUAUUUUAUGUUAGUAUUGUACUUAUUUAGAAUGCUUAAUAAUGAUAGAAUAUAUAUUGUAUCAGUUAAUUCUGUUCCAUUAGAUUGGUUGGUUAUAAUUGUGACAAGACGAAAUGUUACGGGAAACCAGUACUUUCCAUCGAUCUGGAUGACCAGAGAUUACUUUUGUAAGUAUGCAAAGUGGAUUGAGUCAGGCCGUUAUUUAUGCUGUGAGAGCAAAGAGAUUGUUUUCGAAAGGCUGUCAAAAAUAUUAGCUCAUGUGGUGCUAAAUGAUGUUGUUUGGAGUAGUGUGAAUAAUGUCGAAAGAGUUAGACUUUUCUUGAUGUCUUCCCUGAAAGUAUACCUGGAUUGCCUUCAGGCAGAGAUAUGAGGUUCACUAUUGAUUUGUUGCCAGGUAUAAAUUUAUGUUAAAGAUUGGUUCAUGAUGAGUUAAGGGAAUUGGAAAUUCAGUUGAAAGAAUUGGUUGAUAAAAGUUUUAUUCAACCUAGUACAACGCUUUGGGGGAACCCUAGUUCGUUGGUGAGGAAGAAAAUGGGCUUUAAGACUAUCCCUUGAUUAUAGACAAUGGAAUUGGUAACGAUCGAGAACCGUUAUCCAUGGUGCGUUGAUGUUUGUUUGACCAGCUCAAAGGUAUUUGUGUAUUUUCAAAAGAUUGAUUGAGGUCUGGUUAUUACCAAUUGAAGAUUUUGAGCGACAUUGAUCAUAAGAUAGUUUUCUGGACUUGUUAUAGUCUUUAUGAAGUUUGGUGAUGCUAUAUGGAUACUCAUGCUGUUUUAUGAGUUGAUGGAUGAAGUAUUCCAAUAAUGCCUUUAUAGAUUGAUAUCAUUUUUCAUUGACGAUAUUCUGGUAUACUCUAAGCCAGAGCAGAGCAUGUAAAUGUAUUAAGUCGAUGAAGCAAAGAUUGAGAGAACGUUGGUUGUAUGCUAAGUUUAGCAAAGGCUAAAGUUAAAUGAAUCAAGUCGCAUUCUGAGAAUUGUUAUAUAUUCUUAAGGUAUUCAAGUGAAUCCUUAAAAGAUAGCAGAAAUUGAGAAUUUGGAACAACCACGAGUCGUAAUUGAGAUUUGGAAUUUCUUAACUUACCAGGCUAUCUUGGAUGGUUGUGAAAGAUUUUUCAGUCAUUGCUUUGUCAUUGACGAGACUGUUGAGAAAAAGAGUUAUGCAUGAGUGGGAAGGAAAUUGUGAGUAAGGGAUUCAACAACUAAAGUAUUUCCUCACUCAUACACGUAUUUUAGUAAUCCCAGAAGAUAACGGUAAUUAUUGGUUUAUGGUGAUGGUACAUUAAAUAUUCUUGGAGAUGUAUUGAUGCAAAUGUUAGGGUGAUUGAAUAUGUUUCACGACAAAUGGAACCUAAUGAGAUGAAUUACCCUACUGGUGACUUGGAAGUCACGAUUAUCAUCCUUGCUGUGAAGUUGUGGAGACAUUAUAUGUUGAAAAGAAUGCAAGAUUUUACAAAUCAAAAGAGUCUCCAAUAUUUGUUUAUUCGGAAGGAUUUUGAUAUGAGGCAACAAAGGUGGUUUGAAUUACUUAGUUAUUAUGAUGGUACGAUCAGGGUGAUCGUGAAUUGUUGUAGCUGAAGCACUUGGUGAGAAGACUACAGUAUGAUUAAUGUCUGGCACGUUUGCCAAGAGUAUCAUCUUGUGAAUUGAAAACCAACGGAAGAAAAAUUAAGAAUGGAAGAUCGAGAAGAAGUUAUACUUGUUAAAUUUCAAGUUAGGCCUGUUUGGUAAGGUCGUACUCGAAACUUAAAUGCUUGACGAAGAAAUUUAAGAAUUAACCAAGGUAGAGAAAGAAGGUAAGUUAAAUCCUAAGUGAAUCGGACUUAAGUGAUUAUCGAAAAGUUGGUGAAGUUGCUUACAAGCUUGUGAUGCCCUCAGAAUUAAGACAGAGUAAGUGGUAAAAGUAUUGUGGAUGAACCAUUCAGCGGAAGAAACUACUUGGGAGACGGAAGAACGGAUGAGAGGUAUGUAUCCGAGGCUAUUUUAUGAGUUUUGAUGGGUUGGUUGGUGGCUAGAAUUUCGGGGACGAAAUUCUAUAACGAGGGGAGAUUGUCACAGCCCGUCCCGGGAUUUUUCAUUCCGAGGACGUGAAAUUUCAAAAAUGACCUUAAACGAGAUUAAGGUGUGUAAAGAGAUGACAUUUGUUUUAUUUAAAGUUCCUAAACUAUGGUUAAUUUGUGUUAGGGACUAAAACUAGGUUGUAAUGUUGUGUUUGGGUUAAGGUGGGAUCCUCAUACCUCAAAGCACUCCCUAAAACCCGUAACCUUUCCUUCUCUCUCUUCUUCUUCCAUUUCAGAUCUCUCUCUCUCUCUCACCCUCUCUCGAACACACGGCAACCACCAAGACCACACAAAAAAAACACCCUAAACUUCCACCAACGACGGAUUUAAGAGUGCCAUCGUACUCCUGAAGACCAUACGAUCACGAUGAUACCCAUUUCAAGUAAGUUUCACUUCGAAAACCCUAGUUUCUAAAGUUGCCGUGAAUGUGUACUGUUCAUGAGCUUUGAAUUGGUUGAUUUUUAGGACAAUCCAAGCUCAUAGUGAGCUUAGUGAGGUCCCAAGGAAGCUCGGAGUGCUUCGUUGGAAGUUUUUGGACGUAAGAACACGGAGAUCGACAAGUUCAAAGUUUGGCCGAAGCUUUCGAGGCAUUUUCCGGCGAAUCCCCGGCGAGUUAGGAGUCGAGGUAGGUAUCAAUCUCUUCGUCUCGUAAAGUACUACAACUUUCCUUUUUGUUUCACUCAAUUUCGUUGAGUAUUGAAGAAGUUAUACUCAUUUGAAAAAUACCCAGUUUCCGGCGACCUCCGAGGCUUUCGAGGCAGUUUCCGGCCAAACCACGGCGAACUAGGUGUUGUGCAAGGUACCAUUCUCUUUGUCUCUUCAAGGGCUACAACUUUCGUUUUUGAAGCACUUGAUUUCGUUGAGAAAUGACAAAGUUAUGGCAAUUUGAAAAACUGCCCAGAAAACGGCCGCCGGAAAAACCAGUCCGGCGACCCAAGGAAGAAGAAGGUGCGCGUGGGGGCGCGUGGACCCGUGCCUUCCUUGGCGCGUGGGGGCGCGUGCUACAGUAAAAAAAUUAAUCUAAAAAUAUGUCGACGUCCGUGACGUCGAGUAGAUCACCGUGGUAUAUUCAUAUACCCAAUUUGAGCAAUAUAUGAGGAGUUAUUAGCUAAGAGUGGGAUUAUGCGUUAAAUAAUGUUAAUUUGGUUACUUCUCGUAUAGGCGAGGAUUAUACGGACGUUGGGCAUGGCUAAGGGAGGCUCAGGGACCUUCGACACGUCGAUGUAUUCUGUGAGUGGGCAGUUUUGUUUUCCGUAUAUAUAUAUACUUGACGUUUCCCAGAAAUUGAAUUGAAAUGAAAAUAUGUUUAAAAUGAAAUGCAUAUGAGUUAUGUGGAAAAACGGGAAGUGAAAUACCAUGCAUAGAAUUGAUAUGAAAAGUAUAUAGAAAUGUGAGUUGAAAUGCCAUGCAUGAAUUAAUAUAUGAUGCAUAUGUAUGAAUUGGUGCGGUGGACGCACAGGUAAGAAUUGAUUUAUGAUGCAUAUGUAUGAAUUGGUGCGGUGGACGCACAGGUAAGAAUUGAUUUAUGAUGCAUAUGUAUGAAAUGGUGCGGUGGACGCACAUGUGAGUAUUUAUUUCUGUUAUGAUGAUGUUGAUGUAUAUUGAGCUCAAAUCCUGCACCAUAGUUUAGUGCUUAUAGUAUUCACCGCAUCGCACGCUCGCCUUGGAUCCAAGUAGAUGCUAGUCGUACAGUCCACGCGGAGUGGGUACGACAGGCCAGUCGCGAGAGUGUUAGUGAGAUUCCGACUGGUGGGUGACCUUAGAUUAUGUGCACAGAUGAUUUAUGAGAAGCACUAGAGCGUAACUUGUGUGCAGAAGGCCAGACGGGUCACAGAGGUGACUCCGGUAGAGUGAUAAUGAUAGAUUUUGAGCUCUAGGUUCAACCGUAUAGGGCUAUUAGAGGGCCUACGGUUGAUUACUUUCUUGCACCUGAUAUGAUUAUGUUGAUGCAUUCAUACCUUAUUACUGUUGAGAUAAUGUGGCAUGGCAUAAUUAAUAUGAGAAAUGUUGAGAUGACAUGGCAUGGCAUGAUUGAUAAAGAGAUAAUGUUGAGAUAGUAACAAUGAAGUUUUGAGAAUAUAUAUGUAUAUUUAUAUUUUACAUUUCUGGGAAAGUAUACAGGUUUUACGGAGAGGGGUUACAACGUUUUGAGAAAUGUUUGGAUU
rnacentral:lncRNA from 1 species